rnacentral:rRNA from 1 species
CUUGGCUCAGAAUAGACGCUAGCCUCUAGCUUUAUACAUGCAAGUCGAACGUGGGCCUUUUUAAAAGGCGCAAGUGGCGAACGGGUGAGUAAUACACAAGAAUCUACCAAGCAAUCCAAAUAAAUCUUGGAUAUUUAAAAAGCAUAGUCUGUUGUUUGAUGAGCUUGUGCAGGAUUAGGUAGUUGGUGAGGUAAAGGCUCACCAAGCCAACGAUCUUUAGCCGGUCUGAGAGGAUGAUCGGCCACAUAGGAACUGAGACAAGGUCCUAGCUCCUUCGGGAGGCAGCAGUAGGGAAAUAUGGACAAUGCGCGAAAGCGUGAUCCUGCUAGGAGGCGUGAGUGACGAAGGUAAUCAUAAGUACUGUAAAGCUCUUUCGUUUGUUUAAAAGAACAAGACAGCAAAAGAAGAAGUUCCGGCUAACUUCGUGCCAGCAGCCGCGGUAAUACGAAGGGAACUAGCGUGAUUCGGAAUGACUGGGCGUAAAGGGUACGUAGGAGGCCUACCAAGUUUUCUUCUAAAUCUCAUGUUAACAUGAUCAUAGGGGAAAAAACUAGUAGGCUUUGAGUCUAGGAGAGGAUUAUGGAAUUUCUGGUGGAGGGCUAAUAUCCAAAUAUAUCAGAAGGAACAUCAGUGGCGAAGGCAAUAAUCUGGACUAGAACUGACUCUGAGGUACGAAAGCGUGGGGAGCAAACGGGAUUAGAGACCCCAGUAGUCCACGCCCUAAACGAUGAAUGCUUUCUUUUGGAAGUAAAAUCCAGAAGCAAAGAAGCUAACGCGUUAAGCAUUCCGCCUGGGGAGUACGAUCGCAAGGUUGAAACUCAAAAGAAUUGACGGGAGUUCAUACAAGCGGUGGAGCAUGUGGUUUAAUUCGAUGAUACGCGCAAAACCUUACCAACCCUUGACCCUUAGUAGACUACAAAAGUAAUUUUGGUCUUUUAAGUCGUUGAUAAACCUUUGGGUUUCUCAGCUUCACGUACUUGUACGUAAAAUUAAAACUACUAAACAGGUGUUGCAUGGCUGUCGUCAGCUCGUGUUGUGAAAUGUUGGGUUAGUUCCUAUUUCACGAGCGUAACCCCCAUCUUUAAUUUUUUAUUAACGAAACUGUCGGGAGCGAAACCGAAGGAAGGAGGGGAUGACGUCAAGUCUUCAUGGCCCUUAUGGGUUGGGCUACACACGUGCUACUAUGGUUGUAACAAUGGGAAGCAAAAAGCCUUUUAUUAGGAAAACUUGGAGCAAAUCCUUAAAAGCAACCCAAGUUCGGAUUGUUUUCUGCAACUCGAAAACAUGAAGUAGGAAUCGCUAGUAAUCGCAAAUCAGCACGUUGCGGUGAAUAUGUUCCUGAACUUUGUACAUACCGCCCGUCACACCCUGAGAGUGAGGUCUUCUGGAAGAUAAACUAGUUUGUAUUUAUUAAGUUUGGCGUAAAAUUACCAUCUUUGGUAGUUAAACUCAAACCUUG